UGGGGAAUAUUGCACAAUGGGCGCAAGCCUGAUGCAGCCAUGCCGCGUGUGUGAAGAAGGCCUUCGGGUUGUAAAGCACUUUCAGCGGGGAGGAAGGCGUUAAGGUUAAUAAACUUGGCGAUUGACGUUACCCGCAGAAGAAGCACCGGCUAACUCCGUGCCAGCAGCCGCGGUAAUACGGAGGGUGCAAGCGUUAAUCGGAAUUACUGGGCGUAAAGCGCACGCAGGCGGUCUGUCAAGUCGGAUGUGAAAUCCCCGGGCUCAACCUGGGAACUGCAUUCGAAACUGGCAGGCUAGAGUCUUGUAGAGGGGGGUAGAAUUCCAGGGGUAGCGGUGAAAUGCGUAGGGAGCUGGAGGAAAACCGGUGGGGGAGGCGGCCCCCUGGACAAAGACUGACGAUCAGGUGCGAAAGAGUGGGGAGCAAACAGG
rnacentral:rRNA from 1 species